UGUCCAGACUCCUACGGGAGGCAGCAGUGGGGAAUAUUGCACAAUGGGGGAAACCCUGAUGCAGCGACGCCGCGUGAGUGAAGAGGUAUUUCGGUCUGUAAAGCUCUAUCAGCAGGGAAGAAAAUGACGGUACCUGACUAAGAAGCCCCGGCUAACUACGUGCCAGCAGCCGCGGUAAUACGUAGGGGGCAAGCGUUAUCCGGAUUUACUGGGUGUAAAGGGAGCGUAGACGGCAGUGCAAGUCCGGAGUGAAAGCCCGGGGCUCAACCCUGGGACUGCUCUGGAAACUGUAAAGCUGGAGUGCGGGAGGGGCAGGCGGAAUUCCUGGUGUAGCGGUGAAAUGCGUAGAUAUCAGGAGGAACACCAGUGGCGAAGGCGGAUGACUGGACGGCAACUGACGGUGAGGCGCGAAAGCGUGGGGAGCAAACAGGAUUAGAUACCCUCGUA
rnacentral:rRNA from 1 species